UACGUAGGUGGCAAGCGUUGUCCGGAUUUACUGGGCGUAAAGAGCGCGCAGGCGGUCGUACAAGUCGCGUGUGAAAGCCCCUGGCUCAACUGGGGAGGGUCACGCGAUACUGUUCGACUCGAAGGCAGGAGAGGGAAGUGGAAUUCCCGGUGUAGUGGUGAAAUGCGUAGAUAUCGGGAGGAACACCAGUGGCGAAGGCGACUUCCUGGCCUGUUCUUGACGCUGAGGCGCGAAAGCUAGGGUAGCAAACGGG
rnacentral:rRNA from 1 species